AGUGAACGCUGGCGGUAGGCCUAACACAUGCAAGUCGAACGGCAGCACAGUAAGAGCUUGCUCUUACGGGUGGCGAGUGGCGGACGGGUGAGGAAUACAUCGGAAUCUACUUUUUCGUGGGGGAUAACGUAGGGAAACUUACGCUAAUACCGCAUACGACCUACGGGUGAAAGCAGGGGAUCUUCGGACCUUGCGCGAUUGAAUGAGCCGAUGUCGGAUUAGCUAGUUGGCGGGGUAAAGGCCCACCAAGGCGACGAUCCGUAGCUGGUCCGAGAGGAUGAUCAGCCACACUGGAACUGAGACACGGUCCAGACUCCUACGGGAGGCAGCAGUGGGGAAUAUUGGACAAUGGGCGCGAGCCUGAUCCAGCCAUACCGCGUGGGUGAAGAAGGCCUUCGGGUUGUAAAGCCCUUUUGCUGGGAAAGAAAAGCAGCAGGUUAAUACCCCGCUGUUCUGACGGUACCCAAAGAAUAAGCACCGGCUAACUUCGUG
rnacentral:rRNA from 1 species